AAGGAGUUAGUUAAAUAAUAACAUUAGAAUGUCAAACUAAAAUUGCUUAUAUCAGCACCCCUUU
rnacentral:tRNA from 1 species